GGUUAAGCGACUAAGCGUACACGGUGGAUGCCCUGGCAGUCAGAGGCGAUGAAGGACGUGCUAAUCUGCGAUAAGCGUCGGUAAGGUGAUAUGAACCGUUAUAACCGGCGAUUUCCGAAUGGGGAAACCCAGUGUGAUUCGUCACACUAUCAUUAACUGAAUCCAUAGGUUAAUGAGGCGAACCGGGGGAACUGA
rnacentral:rRNA from 1 species